CGACGAUAAUAGCAAACUAAGCGAAAGCUUGGGACGCAAAGCCAUGGGUCUAAAAUCAGCAUUGCUGGUCAUGAUCGCCAGGCCACCGAA
rnacentral:ncRNA from 1 species